CUCAAGCGCGAAUACACCCGAUUUAGGCAGAAAACAAAAGAACCAAGUGAAAAAGCAGAUAUAUCCUGAAAAGGAAUCAAUGGAACAAUACUAGUGCUAUUGCUAUUCAUUCCGUCUUUUUAUUGUUCCCAAGGCCACUUGCUCUUUUUCGGCUCAGGUGCCUUCUUUUCAGGCUUACUUUCUUCCUUCUUCUUU
rnacentral:ribozyme from 12 species